rnacentral:rRNA from 1 species
GACGAACGCUGGCGGCGUGCUUAACACAUGCAAGUCGAACGGAAGGGCCCUGCUUUUGCGGGGUGCUCGAUUGGCGAACGGGUGAGUAACACGUGAGUAACCUCCCCUUGACUUUGGGAUAACUUUAGGAAACUGCGGCUAAUACCGGGUAUGAGCUCCUGCUGCAUGGUGGUGGUUGGAAAGUUUCGGCGGUUGGGGAUGGAUUCGCGGGUUAUCAGCUUGUUGGGGGGGUAGUGGUGUACCAAGCGUUUGACGGGUAGGCGGCCUGGGAGGGUGACCGGCCACAUUGGGCCUGCGAGACGGACCAGACUCCUACGGGAGGCAGCAGUGGGGAAUAUUGCACAAUGGGCGGAAGCCAGAGGCAGCAACGCCGCGUGCGGGAUGACGGCCUUCGGGUUGUAAACCGCUGUCGCCGGUGACGAAGCGUGAGUGACGGUAAUGGGUAAAGAAGCACCGGCUAACUACGUG